GCCCGUGUGGAUCAAUCGGACCUGGACUGGACUCACAAUCCAGGGGUUGCUGGUUCGAAUCCCGCGGCGGGCG
rnacentral:tRNA from 1 species